rnacentral:rRNA from 1 species
GAUGAACGCUAGCUACAGGCUUAACACAUGCAAGUCGAGGGGCAUCACGGGGUACCGGCGACGGUACUCUGGUGGCGACCGGCGCACGGGUGAGUAACGCGUAUCCAACCUGCCUGUCAUCCGGGGACAGCCUUGCGAAAGUAAGAUUAAUCCCCGAUGCGGUGCGUGGUCCGCAUGGGCGUCGCACGAAAGGUGGACGAUGACGGAUGGGGAUGCGUUCCAUUAGAUGGUAGGCGGGGUAACGGCCCACCUAGUCUUCGAUGGAUAGGGGUUCUGAGAGGAAGGUCCCCCACAUUGGAACUGAGACACGGUCCAAACUCCUACGGGAGGCAGCAGUGAGGAAUAUUGGUCAAUGGACGGAAGUCUGAACCAGCCAAGUAGCGUGAAGGAAGGCGGCCCUACGGGUUGUAAACUUCUUUUAUAAGGGAUUAAAGGGCUCCACGAGUGGGGCGUUGCACGUACCUUAUGAAUAAGCAUCGGCUAACUCCGUGCCAGCAGCCGCGGUAAUACGGAGGAUGCGAGCGUUAUCCGGAUUUAUUGGGUUUAAAGGGAGCGUAGAUGGCUUGUUAAGUCAGCGGUGAAAGUUCGUGGCUCAACCAUGAAACCGCCGUUGAGACUGGCAUGCUUGAGUACGGUCGCGGCAGGCGGAAUUCGUGGUGUAGCGGUGAAAUGCAUAGAUGUCACGAAGAACCCCGAUUGCGAAAGCAGCUUGCCAGCCCGUCACUGACAUUGAUGCUCGAAAGUGUGGGUAUCGAACAGGAUUAGAUACCCUGGUAGUCC